rnacentral:rRNA from 2 species
UCCUACGGGAGGCAGCAGUAGGGAAUUUUUCCCCAAUGGGGGCAAGCCUGAUGGAGCAACACCGCGUGAGUGAAGAAGGGUUUCGGCUCGUAAAGCUUUGUUGUUAAAGAAGAACACGUAUGAGAGUAACUGUUCAUACGUUGACGGUAUUUAACCAGAAAGUCACGGCUAACUACGUGCCAGCAGCCGCGGUAAUACGUAGGUGGCAAGCGUUAUCCGGAUUUAUUGGGCGUAAAGAGAGUGCAGGCGGUUUUCUAAGUCUGAUGUGAAAGCCUUCGGCUUAACCGGAGAAGUGCAUCGGAAACUGGAUAACUUGAGUGCAGAAGAGGGUAGUGGAACUCCAUGUGUAGCGGUGGAAUGCGUAGAUAUAUGGAAGAACACCAGUGGCGAAGGCGGCUACCUGGUCUGCAACUGACGCUGAGACUCGAAAGCAUGGGUAGCGAACAGGAUUAGAUACCCUGGUAGUCCAUGCCGUAAACGAUGAGUGCUAGGUGUUGGAGGGUUUCCGCCCUUCAGUGCCGGAGCUAACGCAUUAAGCACUCCGCCUGGGGAGUACGACCGCAAGGUUGAAACUCAAAGGAAUUGACGGGGGCCCGCACAAGCGGUGGAGCAUGUGGUUUAAUUCGAAGCUACGCGAAGAACCUUACCAGGUCUUGACAUCUUGCGCCAACCCUAGAGAUAGGGCGUUUCCUUCGGGAACGCAAUGACAGGUGGUGCAUGGUCGUCGUCAGCUCGUGUCGUGAGAUGUUGGGUUAAGUCCCGCAACGAGCGCAACCCUUGUUACUAGUUGCCAGCAUUAAGUUGGGCACUCUAGUGAGACUGCCGGUGACAAACCGGAGGAAGGUGGGGACGACGUCAGAUCAUCAUGCCCCUUAUGACCUGGGCUACACACGUGCUACAAUGGACGGUACAACGAGUCGCGAACUCGCGAGGGCAAGCAAAUCUCUUAAAACCGUUCUCAGUUCGGACUGCAGGCUGCAACUCGCCUGCACGAAGUCGGAAUCGCUAGUAAUCGCGGAUCAGCAUGCCGCGGUGAAUACGUUCCCGGGCCUUGUACACACCGCCCGUCACACCAUG